GCCUGGGUGGCUCAGUGGUUGAGCAUCUGCCUUCAGCUCAGGUCAUGAUACCGGAGUCCUGGGAUCGAGUCCCAAGUCGGGCU
rnacentral:tRNA from 1 species